rnacentral:rRNA from 1 species
CCUACGGGAGGCAGCAGUGGGGAAUAUUGCACAAUGGGCGCAAGCCUGAUGCAGCGACGCCGCGUGAGGGAUGACGGCCUUCGGGUUGUAAACCUCUUUCAGUAGGGAAGAAGCGGAAGUGACGGUACCUGCAGAAGAAGCGCCGGCUAACUACGUGCCAGCAGCCGCGGUAAUACGUAGGGCGCAAGCGUUAUCCGGAAUUAUUGGGCGUAAAGAGCUCGUAGGCGGUUUGUCGCGUCUGCCGUGAAAGUCCGGGGCUCAACUCCGGAUCUGCGGUGGGUACGGGCAGACUAGAGUGAUGUAGGGGAGACUGGAAUUCCUGGUGUAGCGGUGAAAUGCGCAGAUAUCAGGAGGAACACCGAUGGCGAAGGCAGGUCUCUGGGCAUUAACUGACGCUGAGGAGCGAAAGCAUGGGGAGCGAACAGGAUUAGAUACCCUGGUAGUCCAUGCCGUAAACGUUGGGCACUAGGUGUGGGGGACAUUCCACGUUUUCCGCGCCGUAGCUAACGCAUUAAGUGCCCCGCCUGGGGAGUACGGCCGCAAGGCAAAACUCAAAGGAAUUGACGG